rnacentral:ncRNA from 1 species
AAAUAAGUUAUUAAGGGCAACUGGCGGAUGCCUUGGCACUAGAAGGCGAUGAAAGACGUGGUAGGCUGCGAUAUGCUGUGGUGAGGAGCCAAACAUCCUUUGACCCACAGAUUUCUGAAUGGGGAAACCCAGCGGGAGUUAUGUCCCGUUAUCUCUUUACUGAAUACAUAGGUUUAGAGAGGCUAACCGGGGGAAGUGAAACAUCUCAGUACCCCGAGGAAAGGAAAUCAAACGAGACUCUCUUAGUAGCGGCGAGCGAACGGGGAAUAGCCCAAACCGUCGUGUUUCGACACGGCGGGG